rnacentral:rRNA from 1 species
UACAGAGGGUGCAAGCGUUGUUCGGAAUUACUGGGCGUAAAGCGCGUGUAGGCGGUCGAGUAAGUCUGUUGUGAAAGCCCUUGGCUUAACCAAGGAAGUGCAACGGAUACUGUUUGACUUGAGUACUAGAGGGGAUGGCAGAAUUCCUGGUGUAGAGGUGAAAUUCGUAGAUAUCAGGAGGAAUACCUGUGGCGAAGGCGGCCAUCUGGAUAGUAACUGACGCUGAGACGCGAAAGCGUGGGUAGCAAACAGG